GAUGAACGCUGGCGGCGUGCCUAAUACAUGCAAGUCGAGCGAACGGACGAGAAGCUUGCUUCUCUGAUGUAGCGGCGGACGGGUGAGUAACACGUGGAUAACCUACCUAUAAGACUGGGAUAACUUCGGGAAACCGGAGCUAAUACCGGAUAAUAUUUUGAACCGCAUGGUUCAAAAGUGAAAGACGGUCUUGCUGUCACUUAUAGAUGGAUCCGCGCUGCAUUAGCUAGUUGGUAAGGUAACGGCUUACCAAGGCAACGAUGCAUAGCCGACCUGAGAGGGUGAUCGGCCACACUGGAACUGAGACACGGUCCAGACUCCUACGGGAGGCAGCAGUAGGGAAUCUUCCGCAAUGGGCGAAAGCCUGACGGAGCAACGCCGCGUGAGUGAUGAAGGUCUUCGGAUCGUAAAACUCUGUUAUUAGCGAAGAACAUAUGUGUAAGUAACUGUGCACAUCUUGACGGUACCUAAUCAGAAAGCCACGGCUAACUACGUG
rnacentral:rRNA from 1 species